rnacentral:rRNA from 1 species
UACGUAGGGUGCGAGCGUUGUCCGGAAUUAUUGGGCGUAAAGAGCUCGUAGGCGGUGUGUCACGUCGGCCGUGAAAACCUGCAGCUUAACUGUGGCGUGCGGUCGAUACGGGCAUCACUGGAGUUCGGCAGGGAGACUGGAAUUCCUGGUGUAGCGGUGAAAUGCGCAGAUAUCAGGAGGAACACCGGUGCGAAGGCGGGUCUCUGGGCCGAUACUGACGCUGAGGAGCGAAAGCGUGGGAGCGAACAGG